GACGAACGCUGGCGGCGUGCCUAAUACAUGCAAGUAGAACGCUGAAGGAGGAGCUUGCUUCUCUGGAUGAGUUGCGAACGGGUGAGUAACGCGUAGGUAACCUGCCUGGUAGCGGGGGAUAACUAUUGGAAACGAUAGCUAAUACCGCAUAAGAGUAGAUGUUGCAUGACAUUUGCUUAAAAGGUGCAAUUGCAUCACUACCAGAUGGACCUGCGUUGUAUUAGCUAGUUGGUGGGGUAACGGCUCACCAAGGCGACGAUACAUAGCCGACCUGAGAGGGUGAUCGGCCACACUGGGACGGGGACACGGCCCAGACUCCGACGGGAGGCAGCAGGAGGGAAUCUUCGGCAAUGGACGGAAGUCUGACCGAGCAACGCCGCGUGAGUGAAGAAGGUUUUCGGAUCGUAAAGCUCUGUUGUAAGAGAAGAACGAGUGUGAGAGUGGAAAGUUCACACUGUGACGGUAUCUUACCAGAAAGGGACGGCUAACUACGUG
rnacentral:rRNA from 1 species